ensembl:lncRNA
GAUCCUAUCUGAACAACUGUUUAAAAAGGAAAUUAAAUGGAACAAUCCCCCCCCCCCCCCCCCAAUCUAUCCUCUUUUCCCUCUUUAUCUCUUGCUUUAUGCCAGCCAGUCUGGGACUGCUAGAAUACAAAUUAAUCCAAAAAGGAGGAAAAAAAGGAAGAUUUUUCCAUUGAAAGGCAGAGGCUGGGCUCACAGAGGGCAUCCUGCUUGCAGUCCUGAAGACACUGCAAUAAAAGCCUUUUAUUGCCCUUUCCAGGUUGGGACGUGCAGGGUGGGAGCACAUUCAGCCCCAGCAGCUGUAAUGCACGUGUGCCUCUCCUCUCUUUCUGCAUCAUUUGGGUUUUAUCAGUGACAUCUCCAAGGUCUUCCACCAGGCCCCGUGCAGCCAGCUGGGAGCUCAGCUGGAAAUCCCUUUCUUCCCCAAAUUCAGGGGUCUGAUCUUUAUGGUCUGAGCAUAUCUCAGUGCUCUCAUUGCCUUUUAGUGGGGCUUGGAAGUAGGGCUGUGGGAUGCUGCCUUUUCCCAGUGGUCCUUUACAGAGUGGUGACUGCAGAGGAGUGGGAUCCAGCAGAGGGGGUUCCUCCUCAUUGCCCUCUGAUGUUUUAAUACUGAAUCCAUUUUCAGCAGAGUCCUCAGCUGGCACCAAUAGGAUGUGGCAGUGGGGAGCUGGGGGUCUCCAAAAAGCUGCCUUGUGGUCACCAUCUGCCCUGUGACCAUCAUCUGCCAUGAUGUCAUCCAUAGUCUGGAUGGCCAUCACCUACUGUGAGGUCAUCAUCCACCUUGAGGUCCUCGGCUGCCUUGGUGUCCCCAGCUGCCUUGCACUCAUCAUCUUCCCUAUGGUCAUCAUCUGCCUUGAUGUCAUCCAUCAUAUGGAUGGCCAUCGCCUACCAUGAGGUCAUCACCUGCUGUGAGGUCAUCGCCUGCUGUGUGUCAUCAUUUGCCUUGAUGUCACCACCUACCUCCCAUCCAGCCCCCCACUCUCCAGCUCCAUCCCUGCCCAAUGCACUGAGGCUCGAUGGCCCUUCAACUUCCUUUUUCUCAUCCCAGUAGGAGCAAGCAGGCUGAGAUUUAACAAUAACAGAGGCCACGGGUUGGGAGGCAUCCCUGUCACCACUCUGCCAGCAGUGUCAGCUGGAGCUUCCCCACACCCACCCAAUGCCAGAUGCAAACUCAGUCCUGAAUGCUGCAGCAGCAUAGGAAAUUAUGAAGGAAAAUGUGAAAGCCCCACAGCAGCACCCCCUGCUGCCUCCCCAUCUGCUCUUCGUUAGCUAAAUGAGUUGUGGUCUCCCAGAUGGGUGGCCCCAGCUCAGGGACCCCCCUGCAGCAACUGGGGUGAUGAGUUGGGGUUGGGAUCAAGGGUGAUGCUUCCAGAAUCUGGGGCUCAGCUCCAGCUGGACCCGUCAGGAUGGUGCCCCCGGCCAGCUCUGCCCACAUCCCACAGCCCCAGCUCCAGCUUGUGAUUAAUACCUCGCUGGUCUGAACCUCAUUCAGACUUUCUGGGAUAAUUUCCUAGAAAUUCACCAUCCCUCCGCCAGCAAUGCUUCCCAGAUGUUGCAACCCAGCUCUGUGCUUGGCUGGCCCUGCAGCACAAAGAGCAGCACGUUGCUACAACCCCUUCCAGUACAGAAACUGGAACCAUUGGGUUUGGGUCUGGUGGGUUCUGUGUUGGACUCAACGAUCCCUGUGGGUCCCUUCCACCUCCAGAUAUUCUAUCAUUCCAUGGUCCUAUAAAUUGUUCUACAAUUAAUUUGUAGCGGCUGCUCUUCUUUCUGAUGCCCGUAGGUGGAGAAAGAGAGCUUCACCCCUUCGGGUUCCCUUUACAGCAGCUCAGCUCAGGAGGGUGCAUGGUGCUUUGGGCUCUGUCCCAUCGGGUGCCUGGUUUGGGUGAUCCAACCCCUGUUGAGACAGAGAUGUUGGCCUGCACAAAGCUCCACACCCUCAGGACAAAGGUGGCCCCUCCAGGAGACCACAUACCCUCCCGAGAGACUUGAGGUGCUGCAUGAACCAUAGGAUAUGCAUGAGCAUGGGAUGAGCAAACGCUGUGCAGGUCCAUGACAGCCCAGGACCCAUUUUCUACCCUGGGGUAGCACAUCCUGUGGGGUUAAUGCCUUUCUACCUUGACACAGGUGUCCUCAACCAAUCCAAUGGCAGGCAUCCCAAAAUGGAGCUGUUCCAGGGAGCCCAGCUCCAAGCCAUGCGGAGGAUGGCCCCAUCUAAUGCUGCUCCCUGGUUGAUGGGAUGGCCCCAUCACCACUGCUCAGGAAUAUCUCCACCCAGUCCCGGUGUUCUGCAGGCAUUCACCCACCACGGCCCAACCUCCUUGGCCAUCACUGACCAUACCCACACCCACCCAGGUGUGACCCAUCCCCAAGCCAAAAACGUCCCUAUUGAUCGUUGGAGAUCACUUGAGGGGAACGAUUCAACCCCAGAACAAUGGGAGACAUCAUUGUUUUUGGGAGAUGUGUUAUUUUUUUUCUCCCAGAACAAAGCUGUUGGUUUGAGAAGAGCAGAAAUAUUCCCUGAUUCAAACCAAGCCAAGAAUAAGGAAGGGUUAAAGAAGCAGGCAGAAACUAUUUGCUAUGACCUCCCGUUGACUGGGAUCAUUUUUUUCCCUCCCAAAUUUUGGUUCAGCCACCCGGUUGAAAGCUACCUCCUGUCCCAGCCUGGCCACACUGUGGGUUUGAUCCUGGCCCAAUUUAAUGCAUGGAUCGUGCCAAGGGUGGACGAAUGCUCACUGCCAGCCCAGCACGGGGGGAGGAAUCAAUGGGAGGGCUGAGAGAAGCCCGAUUUGUUGGAAUAAAAGCAAGACUUUGCUGCUUCAUUGUGCUGCCCAUAAAGCAUUCACAAAAGCAGCGCUUGAGGCCGACCGUGAAAAAGAAAGCAGUCCUUGCCCAGGAAGAACAAAUGUUUACCUUGCAUGCUGCAAGCUGACGCCGGGUGAUCUCAGGUGGUUUAAUAGCACUGAAAAGGGCUUUUGUGCUUCUCUGUGCGAUGGAGGAUGAGCUGCAGUGGUUGUCACAUCUGUAUUUUGUCCCAUGGAAUUGGCCAUUUGGGUCUUGGACAGCACUGCUGAGGAGGAUCCUCAUUCCCCCUUGGGUCCCACCAGCUCUUUGCUGUGGGCUUUGGUUCCUCCUACUCAUUACAAGUUGAUCCCCAAGAUCUAUCCUUGAGUGCUUCCUGGGUCCACUUCCACAUUUAAUCUUUGAGAUCAGACAUCCCAUUUCAAAUAGCAUCCCCAUUUCUCUGUAACUUCCCUUUCUGCAGUUGAUUGCUGCAGUAGGAGCUUUCUACUUUUCCCCUCACUGCAAAUGGUUUGUAGUCAACAGACUUUCUGCUAAAUCCAUACUGCUAUAUCCAUACAGGAGAAAGCUUAGCCCAUGGCAGCUCAAACCCACCAGGACGAUGCCCAAGCACGGUCUGCCCAAUGGGUUGGCCAUACAGAUGUCCUCUCCAAGGAUAGAGUUCUUCUCCAAGGGAAGACAAUGUGGUCACUCUGCCUGGGGAUGACGAUGCAGAUGAUGACCCCUCGGGACAGGCAGUGACUUUCCCGACACUUUAACCUCAGUCUAAUUAGUCUGAGGGGAGUGUUUGUUCUGGCUUUGCUCUCAGCAGAUGGCAAAGGGCCAGGACAACGACUUCCCAGCCUGAACACUGGAAAGACUCCGGGCAGAUUUUUGUAGCACAACAAAUGCCAUGCCCUGACCCCAUCCCAUCACCUUUUGGCUGUUCAGGGCUUGGCAGAAGCACCACAUGCCUGCUUGCUCCAGGAGAAGGGGAAAGCGAUGCUAAGGACCAACAGCCUUGACUCCUAGUGGUCCAGGACUCGCUGAGUUUUGCUCGGUGGUCUACCUGCACCACUAUCAUAGAAUCACAGAAUGGCUUGGGAUGGAAGGGACCCCAAGGAUCGUCAAGUUCCAAGCCCCUUGCUGUAGGCAGGGCCACCAACCUCCACAUUUAACAUUAAACCUGGCUGCCCAGGAACCCAUCCAACUGCGCCAGGUUAUGGCCCUGCUUCCCAAGAAAGGUUGAGAUCUGCCUGAGUUGGGCAUCCUGGAUAACAGAGCAGAGAGAAAUAGCAGUGUGUGCCACUGCUGCGCCCUCGUGCUGUUUUUGGGCCAAACUGGAUUUUUUGACAUUCCACAGCGUGGGCUCAUGCCUCGUGCAGCACCCCAAAAACCCUUUUCUGGUGCAAAAGAGUAAUGCUACGGGAAGCUGAAACACCACUGGUGCAGAACCAGCCCUGUUCUUCUUGUGUAUAACCAUGGUGGGUAAUGGAUGGGGACGUCACCAUCCUCCCUAAACAUCCCUCUCUGCCAUCAACCUUUCUCUUCAGCACUCUUCCCUCCGGCCUGAGGUUUUGAGUGCAAUCCAGAGAGAAAGCAAAAAUGGAAAUUCCCCAGGGCGCAGGGGGGAGGAGGAUGGGAAGCAGUUGGUUUCUAUGCUGGUGGCAGCGUUGGGCUGGCUGUGGGCCAGUCAGCUGCGGGGACGUGGAGACACCAAGUCCAGGGCAUGGUGACCUCGUAGGCAACGUCUUGCCAGGCUCUGCUCCUCAGAUGGGGUCGUGGUAGAUGGAGAUUGGAAGAGGGCUGAAGGGAUGUGCCUGAGGCUGUAGGGUUGCAGAGUCGGGUUGAGAUCCUGGCUGCCCAACCCAUCGUCUUCCUCCUUAUGGGCAAGACCACAGACCUUGGACAUGGAGGAGGACAACAAGGUGUGUGGGGUCUAUCUGGCAAGGAUAGUGGAUGGGUAACCACAUGCCUUGUAGGAAUGCCCAUCCCAGGGCGUGGGGAAGCUGUAGGUUUUAUCCAGGGGGUUCUCUGAGGUCUGAGAGGCAACACUCCCUGACAUGGAGGGAUCAUUUGGGGUCCGUCCCCUUCCUCUUUCACUUGCUGGUGGGAACAUCCCUGAGCUCCUCAUGUUCCUCCAGCUCUGGCCAAAAGGAGCAACAGGCUCCAAGUGACUCACCCAGAGAAAUAGCUCUACAUGUGCUCAUCAGCGCCAUGGUUUCUUAGAAAAGCCUCCAUCAGGACUCUACAAAAUCAAGCAUUUAUGCCUCUAAGAAUGCCAGAGCCCUUAUAAAUACCCCACUAUUCAAUUGUUACUACUUAUAUUCUCAACACAGGGUUUUCCCAGCAUUUCCUAGACAUCCCUUGUCCCCGUAUGGUCCAGAAACCUGAAGCCUCAGGAGCCAGCACUUCCCAGUCUGGGACUGGGAUGAGCCCAGCAGAUCCAGCAGCUCCUCCCCACCGGCCUGCUGGAUGCCUGUUGGUAGAGCUGCUGACGGAGCCCCUUGGUGGGCACAGUGGGGAUUUCUUGUCCUCCUCUGAGCAUCACAUCCCAAAUGCAAACACAUGGAAAUGUCUCAGCCACAUCACCACGAGCUCCAGUGUGAGACGUAGCAGCUAGCAGCCAGAGCACGUAAACACUCAGCUAAAAUAAUCCAUGAAAUCCAGCAGGGAAGAAGACUAGGAGAAGUCCUAGGAAACGCCACAAGUUCACCUUUUGGGAUCUGGCUAAAAGCACACAGCAGGGCUUUUGUGCUCCUGUUAUUAUUUCCUUGCUGCCCUCCAACCUCUUGCCCCUUUCUUGUCCCACAGGGCGCAUCCUUCACACCCCCAGGCUUGGUCCAAAGCCCACGUUCCCUUCACCCUACAUAUGGGCUGGAUAAACCCUCCUCAUGGCAGCAGAAGAGGACAAAUAUUUGGCUCUGCAUGUGUGUUUUUUUUUUAUUAUUAUUUUUAUGUGCAAUAUUUCUAAGGAACCAUCGCAGAUCGUGGGAGGUCACUGUAACUCAGCCGCAGGCAGCUAAGAGCUCUGUAUAAUCUCAGACCUUGUCCCCAGAAUAUUCAGAAGUCGCCAGGUGAUGCCCUUUGAGCUCUUUCUAAAGCAAAACUCAGCACUGGGAGAACGGGUAAACCACGUGGGAUCCUUCCUGAUCCCAAGGGAAGGGGAUGCAGGCACAUCCAUGGGGACGCCUGGACCAAGACACAAAGAGCAACACUAAAACCAAAGCGAUGGGGUGGGAGGAGGGAAGCAUUUGCAUCACUUUGCACCAGGCAGAGGAAUGUGAGCUUGGCAUAGGACGGUCAACGCCAACGUAUCGAGCACUGAGUGGCUCUUUUCUGAACUCUUCAAACCACUCAACCCCAAUUCCCAGCAGCUCCUACUGGACCGUGGUGCUGAUUGAUGCCUGCUCGGACGUAGCAGUGAUUUGUAACCUCAAGGGUGCAAAGGGCAGCAGAGUAAAGAAAAACAUCUGAAUGUUUUGGAACUUGGUGGUACAGCCCAGGGUCUCCCAGCCCCAUUGCAGCUGAAGCAUUUCCCUGCUCUGCAGCCCCAUGGCUGUCCUCCAGAACCUUAUCUCAGUGGGUUCCUGUGUCUGUCACAGUCCUUAACUCCCUCCAAAUGUGCUCCUCAUGCUCAUAAACUGGGAGUGCAUCCCAUUCCUGCCGCCUGGUUUUGCAGGCUGGGUGAGCAUAACAGCAUGAAAGUAGUAUUUGGGGCUGUAAAUUGGUUUUAUCCAUUCUUCCUCCUUUCUUUUACUUCUUUUCUUCAUUCACCCCCUCGCUCCCCUCCCCUUUCCCUCCUUUCUUUUUAUCGUGGAGAGUCACAUCAUGGCCUCAGUCUCUCUGUCUCUGCUUAUCUGCAGUGGGAAAGAGGGGCCAGAUGCCCUCCAAGGCGCUGAGCAGAGCGUCUGCAGAGGCAAAGCACAGCCUGGAGCCUGCCCAGCAUGACUGUUUAGGCUGAAGGGAGCACUGAUUAGGGCUGUUCAAGGCCCCGAGAAAGCUGACUUUAAUGCUGCAGCAACGAGGGUGCAGGAUGGGAGCUGUCUGCCUGCCCAUGGCUGCUGGGCACUCAGUGCCUGUCCCACUCCCUUCUUCUCCCCAGGUCCAUGGUGCCAUUGGGAUGAUGCCCAUUUGGGGCAGAAGAGGAUGGCAGGAAACAGGAUGGAAAGCAGUCGCCCCUUCCUCCAGCAAAUCCCUCUGCAACCUUCACUUAACCAAGCAGUGGUUCUUUCAAGGUGAGACUUUCAAGGAUCAGGCCCUGGGCAACCUGAUCUAGCUGUGGUGUCCCUGUGCAUUGCAAGGGAGUUGGACUGGUUGGCCUUUAGAGGUCCCUUCCAACUCUAAGCAUUCUAUGAUUCUACGAUUCUAUGCUCAGCCUGGCUUGGCACACCCCUGGAAAAGUAAGGCUCUACCUCCUCCGGGCAUAGAUAGUUCUCCUCGUCAUCUAUAGAAAACAGUUUAAAACCAAGAGUGGAAAUUUAGGUUAGAUUUUAGGAGGAAAUUCUUUGCUCAGAGGGCAGUGAGGCCCUGGUGCUGCUGCCCUGAGCUUUGGGUGCCCCACUCCUGGAGGUGCCCAAGGCCAUGGAUGGGGUCCUGAGCACCCUGAGCUGGUAGGGGGCACUCAGCCCAUAGCAGGGUGUUGUAAAAAGAUGAUCUCAAGGUCUGUUCCAACCUAAGUCAUUCUAUGAUUCUGUAAUAAUAUGACAAAACAAGUCUCAAGGCAUUGGUCCAAUGCCUUUGGACUCGUCAGUACAAAAUCAGUCAUCCAGAAUGGAUCCAGAAUGGCUGCAGAUUCUCAGGCUCUCCUGCGGGAGGGAUGCAAUGUUUCCAGGUGUUGCCCACCCCCAGCUGUGCCUGUGCUCCCAUCCCUAAGCAGAGCAGGUGAAGCAGUCACCGUGCCCUGACGGCUCUCCAUAAGCAGACCUCUCAUUGUCUCAGGCUGGAUGUGGCCCUGGGCAGCCUGGUCUGCUGGUUGGCAGCCCUGCACAUAGCAGGGGGCUGGAAGUGGAUGAGCAUUGUGGUCCUUUUCAACCCAGGCCAUCCUAUGACUCUAUGGUUCACCCCAAGGCGAGCGUGACGUCCCCACCAGCUGUGCUAACAUCUGGGCUCAGCUCUCCUGCAGGAGCGCUCACGUCAGAGGACAGAAGUUCAUCCACUUCAGGCAGAGCAUUUCUCUCUGAUCCGGUGACAAACACGUGGUGCUCCUCCUCCGCAGCACAUCUGGGGAGGGAGGAGGGGGAUGAGCUCACCGUGUCAUCACGGGGUCACCGUGUGGGGCGAAGGGACCCUUCGUGCUGUCCCUGAUGGGCACCGUGGGUGAGAGAAAGCUUUACGCAAGGGCUUCCAAGAAGUUGGCAUUAGUAGCAAACACAGCCUAUGUCCCUUGAGGGAGUUUGUCUCCUGAAUUAAUCUGCCAGCCACUCGGUCCUAAUUCGCCAUCAUUUAGGGUUGUUUUCUCCCACAGAGUCGUGGUUUCUGAGAGUCCCUUGGGGGAAGUCAAUGAUGGCAAAGGAGAAGCUGCAGAUCCGGUGGCACGAAGCAGAGCAAGGUGCUGACAUUUGUACAGUUCCUUAUAGACAGGAGGAGGAACAAAGUCCGUGUGAGGGAUGCGUGCCAACCCCAGGCCUAGGAUUUGCACAUCUGUGCAGGCAAGGCAAUGAGAGACUGCUUCUUUCCUGACUGCUAAGUAGAAGGUCACACACACAGACUAUUGACAAGGUUUAGGAACCACCACUGAAGGAAGGAAUUAGGAACAAGCUCCAGCAGGGAGACGUGGAGCAGGGUGCCCAGGGCUGUGCUGAGUUGGGUUUUGAGCACCUCCAAGGAUGGAGACCACACAACCUCUGGGGGCAACCUCAACCACCCCCUCAGUGACAAAAUAUUUUCCAUAUGUUUCAACAGAGUUUCUUGCCCCAUGGCCCCACUCAGAAGAGUUAGAUUCCAUUGUCUUCAUUCCCAGCCCAUCAGGCAUUUAUAGAAGUCAAUGAGAUCCCCUUGAGCCUUCUUAUCUGCAGGGUGAACAGUUCCAGUUCUCCAGUUCUCCUUAUACUGAAGAUGCCCCAAUCUUAUCAUCAUCUAUGCAGCCCUGUGCUGGACUCAGUUAUGGCCGUAUCUCUUGAAGACUUGGCUGGUGAGUGCUGGUCAGAUGUUGGGGGGUCAAGAAGGGAUCUCCCCUUUGGAUUUGGCCAUGGAAAGAUGAGCUGGGAUCUUGGGGCAGUCCCAUGAUGGUUGACUGGACCCAAACUGCCCAGCAACCUAGAGGAGGAAAGAGGGAAGUGACCAGUAGGAAGGACAGUUCUACUAUUUAAAAGUUCCUGAGUAAUUUCUAUAUAUAUAUAUAUAUAUCAAAAAGAGAAUAACCAACUCUUACUUAUUUCACUUAAAAAUAGACUCUCAUGCAGCUGGGACAGAGCUGUGUUGCCCCAUGCCAAGACAGGCGAGAUGCGUGGAGGAGGGGCCUUCCCAGACAUGUGGCAGUUUCCACCUGCUCCAUCUAAAUUUAGAUGGGAGACCCAUCCUGUCCCUUCUUCCAGGACCACAUGGAUUUUAAUGCUGAGAAGUUUCCAAAGCUCUGGGGCUUCUGCUUCUGUGCUUGCCUUGGAGCAAGGCCAUAGCGUGAGUCACCUGGCGCUUACAGCUUGUUUAGUGUACCAGUUUGGGCUCUAUUGAAUUUCUAGGAGGGAAUUUAGUUCAUAAUCCCAAUCAGUGAAUUGUCAAGGAAGAGGAGAAGGAAGAAGAGGAGGAGAAACCAGUCCGUUUGGUGGUCACGCUGCCACAAGCCGUUUCUCAUUGUCUGCUGGUGUGAAUAUAUCUUUCCUUACACCACAGCCCCAUGAUCCACAUGGCAGCCUCGUGAACUGUGUGCACGUCAUUGCCUUUUUCAAGCCCUAUGUGGCUCCUAUAGAUUUACUGUGGAUGCAAAGGUGGAAUGCAGUCCAUUGGAGACAUCUGCUUGGAAGACAUCCAGAGAAGACAUUGCUGUGUUGACUCAUGGACCAUAGGGUGCCCCUGAAAUACCAGGGACCUGCUGAGGACUCACCCAGGGCCUCCCUUCCAGGACCUGGAGGGACCUACAAGAAAUCUGGGGAGGGACUUUUUAUAUGGGCAUGUAGAGACAGGAGGAGGGGAAGUGGCUUUAAGCUGGAGGAGGGUAGAUUUGGAGUAGAGAUUGGGAAGAAAUUCUUAAUGUGAGGGUGGUGAGACACUGGCACAGGUUGCCCAAUGAGGCUGUGGAUGCCCCCUCCCUGGAAGCACUCAAGGCCAGGCUGGAUGGGGCUGUGAGCAGCCUGGGCUAUGGGAGGUGUCCCUGCACAUAGCAGGGGGUUGUGACUGGGUGAGCUUCAAGGUCCCUUCCAACCCAAACCAUUCCACCAUUCCAUGACUCUACGGUCACGUUUCCCCUCCAGCCUUCCUGGAAUCACAGCUUCUCGUACACCAUCCUCGUUAUUUUUCUGGUUUUAUUUUAAUCCCCUUUGUUAUUGUUCAGCUUCCCUUCAAGUCAGUGUUUCUAAGGAUCCCAGAAUAGAGAAUCGCAUCAGAUAAUAACAGGAAGGAAAAGGGAAUGCCUAGGAUUACUGGACGCAUUAAAUUAAACCUAUUUCACAAGUCUUUCACCAGAGGUGCUUCCCCUGGCCUCGGUGUUCAGCUCUGGAAAGGUGCAGGGGAGGAAGAAGAGUGAUGCAAAAGGAGAGCUUCGGAGUCAUUUCCCAGACUGGGCACCGUGGCAAAGCUCGUUGUCAUAAAUCACCGCGAUUGGCGUUGCCUGAAUGCUUGGCCUGGUGGUGUCUGUGGUGUCUGAGGGCGCCUGGGGUUCCUGGCAUGGAGCCUCCAGCCCACUCCAUACCCAGGACGGAGUCAUCGCUGUGAUUUACCAUCACCACGCUGCCCUGCUUUCUUCCAUUCCCCCUCGUAAAGAAAACGACCUUCUGUUGAUCAUAAAUCUGGCUGGUUUAUCCCUAAAGUUUAUGCUAGAGCAGCUUCCACCCUGCUGAGAUCAGUUACAUGUGAACAGAAUACAGGAGCCCGCCAGCAGCCUGCAGAAAGAGCUCCCAAGUGCUCGAGGGCUUUCCAUGAGCCUGGCUGUGGGUCUGAGCUGUCUGACAGUGCCCACGUGGCAAAAAAGUGCAACACAACGCAGUGACACGCCACGCUGUGCAAGGACAUGAUGCGAUGUGACAAGCAGUGCAGUGCAGUGCAGUGAAACAGAACGUCGUGCAGUGAUGUGGCAUUGCAUAUGAGGACAUGCAAUGAAAUGAUAUGCAAUGAAAUGCAGCGUGAGGAAAUGCAGUGCAAUGACAUGGCAUGCUUUGACAUGCAACGAGAUGCCAUGCAGUGGGAUGGCAUGCAAUGGCACGGUGUGCAGUGGCAUGCAACGGAAUGGCAUGCAAUGAAGUGAAUUGCAGAUCAAGGACAGGAUAUGACACGGCAUGCAAUAAAGUGAGAUGCUGUGAAAUGGCAUGGCAUGCAAUGGCAUGCAAUGACAUGAAAUGUAGUGCAAGGAUAUGGCAUGCUACGUCAUGCCAGGACAUACAGUGAAAUGAAAUGCAAU